GUUGGGUGUGGUGGUGCACACCUGUAAUCCCAGUGGCUCAGGAGGCUGAGGCAGGAGGAUCACGGGUUCAAAGGCAGCCUCAGCAAAAGCAAGGCACUAAGCAACUCAGUGAGACCCUGUCUCUA
rnacentral:sRNA from 1 species